GCAAAUAUAGUUUAACAAAAACAUUAGAUUGUAAAUCUAAAUUUAAGAGUUUAAAUCUCCUUGUAUGCC
rnacentral:tRNA from 1 species